UCCUCUCACCAGCUUGGUGAGCUAAAAAUCCAACUCCAGACUGUUGCAGCCAAGAACACAGGUCUCCUUCUCCCCUAACUGCCAGCUGGAGGGCUGCAUUUCUCUUCUUGACCCUUGCUACCUGUUGCUGAAACUAAGCUCUGAGUGAAACUGUCUAAAUUCUCAAGCUGAACCAUGAUCAACAAACACACUUACUUGGCAAGGCAAGAAGACCAACAUCUUCAUCGAAGACACUCUUCUGCUCUUGACUCAACUGAGAAGAUUCUCCACUUUUCUGAUGGAAAGAAUAAGUUAUGUCCACAUACUUGCAUCCUUUAGAGAAACAUCCUAAGAUGCUGAUGAUGCUGAUCCAGGGGCCACACUUCGAGAACGACUAACCCAGAGUAACACAGACAUUGGGAAGACAGAACAUGAAACUUGCUUAGACACAUAACAUGAUGCCAGACAAGAGUGCAAGAGCUCCUGCAAACAAUGCAGGCUCAAAUCACAGGAGUCUGGACUCAGAGCUCUUCGCCUCUCUUCUCCAUAAUGUGACAUACCAGGGCAUCAGAAGGAGAGCAGACCAUGGAAGAAACUGUCUUUGAUACCUAAUCAACAGUGUAGUAACUGAUUAACUUUCCCUCACAUCUCAAAGGGGCAGCUUGCAUCCAUUACCUAUUAAUUUCAGAAACCUCUGAAAACCAGCCUCUACCCUCCUUUUCCCUCCCCAAAACUUCAUUAAACCUGAAAUUUUAAUCUCUGCUUUUACUGACCUUUCCAUAACACUUUAUAUUUUAGCAAACUGUCUGCCUCAGAAAUUCUCAUCUGCUUUGAGCUCUCUCAUGGUUUAUCUUUUAUCUAACUAAACUCUUUAAUGGGAGAGCUCCUCAAACCAUUUUUUGUUUCGUUUUGUUUUCCUUCUCAGAAGGAAAGAUUAUGACCACAGUUCUUAAGCAAGAAAUGGGCUCCUUCCUGGGACACUGGUUGAGAUCUGCAUUAAACAAGAAUGAGAAGAUUCUGCAAAUAUCCUUGCUUUAGGAAUCAUGCUUGCUGCUCUCUUGAUAUGUAGGCCUCCUCCUACAGAUUAAGAAAAAAUCUUUUGCCAUUGUAUCCUAAAUAAGGAAAAAGAUGUAACUGGAUUUCAACAUCAGCCCACAAUUUCUGUACCAGGGAAGGUAAUAAAAAGGUAAAACACCUCUUUCAUAGACACAGCGCUGAAGGUAUCAAACAUCUUAUCUAGAUAUUGCUUGACACUAGAAUUGACUGGAAAUAAAAAGCACAUGAAAUCUUUUGACCAAUUUCUGUUCCCUUGGGUUCUGAAAUUUCCAUUACAUUGCAAUUAAAGGAUGCAAAAUGGUCUGGCCCAAUGUGGGAGAUAACCUCAAGUUUGGCAGACCUACAGUCUCCUUAGCAAUUCCUCCUCCUGUCACAUCCUUCCCACAGGUUGUCCCCCGAGAGUCUACCUAAAGUGUUCUACCCCGAUUAACUUUUGCAGUCCAACUACCAUCUUCAUGGAAAUUAUUCCAAAAGCUCUUGCCUUUUCCCUGACUUUCAGCCAAUCCAUCUCCACUAGAAAAUUCCAGGGAUUGCUCAAGUUGCUACAUGAAUAGAUAACUUUAAUGGGUCUUCCAACCCUAAAAUUCUAUGACUGGAUCUAACCUUGAACAUGCUCCACUCCAAACUGGCAGCCCUCAUCUGUCAGUGGCAGUCAUGUUCCCUAACCUCAGAGCUUCAAGGUCAACCCUCAGUCUUCCCUCACUCACAUGUCCCGCAGAAUGAAUGAGACACAAGCUUAGUGCUAUGUGCAAAAGAAACACUCAAAAAAGAGGUCAGCUAAAAAGUAUUUUUUAACCACAAUUCUUAAAUCUAGGCCCCUAUCUCCAACUCAACAGUCACUAACUUUAUUUAAUCCUGUAUUACUCUCCCCAAAGCUAUUUCAACAGCCUACAGCUGGUCUUCUUUUCACCAGACUUUCCCUAUUUGAAUCCAUCCUUCACUGUUACUUUUCCUUCCUAAAAGUAAUGUCAUGCCCACUUAAAAACCUUUGAAGGGUGUGGGAGGAACCUCUGCCAUCUCGUCAUUUCUCAAAAGGUAGAGUUCAAACUUCUUAUUUACCCAUAACCAUUCAUGAUCAGGUCCAAAUUACCUCUCCAAAUUACUUCUCUGCCGUGUAUUGUAACGUGCUUUCAUGUCAGCAAACAGAGCCUAUUCCCUUUGUUGGAGACACUACAUCCUUCCCUCCCUCUUCCCUACUCCCGUAUCUUAGUUUCUUCCCUUACCCUCCAUCUCUUCUGUGUUCCCACUGACCAAACACUCCUCAUACUGUAUCAUAAUUAGACAAAAUGUUUGAACGUGUAUUAAAGGGUUCUCCUCAAACUGGAACUCUGCCUCACUCAACAGACUGUUCAAAAGGGACACAUAAUAAACAUCUGUUUGAAUGAAAGAGCUUAUACAUCCAAAAGAGUAAAAUCU